AAUGAACGUUGGCGGCGUGGAUUAGGCAUGCAAGUCGAGCGCGAACCCCGCAAGGGGUGAAAGCGGCGAAAGGGAGAGUAACGCGUGGGUAUCUGCCCUCGGGACUGGGAUAGCUGCGGGAAACUGCAGGUAAUACCAGAUGACGUCCCCGGACCAAAGGUGUGAUUCCGCCUGAGGAUGAGCCCGCGUCCUAUUAGCUAGUUGGUAGGGUAAUGGCCUACCAAGGCAAUGAUGGGUACUGGGUGUGAGAGCACGACCCAGCUCACUGGGACUGAGACACUGCCCAGACACCUACGGGUGGCUGCAGUCGAGAAUCUUCGGCAAUGGGCGAAAGCCUGACCGAGCGACGCCGCGUGUGGGAUGAAGGCCUUCGGGUUGUAAACCGCUGUCAGAGGGGAGGAAUGGGCGGAGGGUAAUCUCUUCGUUUUGACCUAUCCUCAGAGGAAGUACGGGCUAAGUUCGUGCCAGCCGCCGCCGUAACAC
rnacentral:rRNA from 1 species